rnacentral:rRNA from 1 species
CAAGGNAUUUCCCCAAUGGGCGCAGCCUGAGGGAGCAACNCCGCGUGGAGGACGACGGCCUUCGGGUUGUAAACUCCUUUCGGGUGGACGAUGCUGACGGUACCACCAGAGCAGCCCCGGCUAACUCUGUGCCAGCAGCCGCGGUAAGACAGAGGGGGCAAGCGUUGUCCGGAGUUACUGGGCGUAAAGGGCGCGCAGGCGGUGGGCUGCGUCGGCGCUAAGCGCCCCGCUUAACGGGGCGAGGCGCGCCGAUACGAGUCCACUCGAGGCAAGCAGAGGGUGGCGGAAUUCCGGGUGGAGCGGUGAAAUGCGUAGAGAUCCGGAGGAACGCCGGUGGGGAAGCCGGCCACCUGGGCUUGACCUGACGCUGCGGCGCGACAGCGUGGGGAGCAAACCGGAUUAGAUACCCGGGUAGUCCACGCGUAAACGAUCCCGGCUCGGCGUCUGGCGCACGUUGGUGUGCUGGGUGCCUUAGCUCACGCGGUAAGCCGGCCGCCU